rnacentral:rRNA from 1 species
GACGAACGCUGGCGGCGUGCUUAACACAUGCAAGUCGAACGUAGUGGCGAACGGGUGAGUAACGCGUAAUCAACCUGCCCUUCAGAGGGGGACAACAGGUGGAAACGACUGCUAAUACCGCAUACUGAGGGAGGGGAUUGCGUCGGAUUAGCUAGUUGGAGGGGUACCGGCCCACCAAGGCGAUGAUCCGUCGCCGGUCUGAGAGGAUGAACGGCCACAUUGGGAAUGAGACACGGCCCAGAUGCCUACGGGAGGCAGCAGUUGGGAAGCUUCCGACAUGGACGAAAUUCUGACGGAGCAACGCCGCGUGAGUGAUUACGGCCUUCGGGUUGUAAAGCUCUGUUAAUCGGGACGCGGUACCGGAAUAGAAAGCCACGGCUAACUACGUGCCAGCAGCCGCGGUAAUUC